rnacentral:rRNA from 1 species
GAGAAACGGCUACCACAUCCACGGAAGGCAGCAGGCGCGUAAAUUACCCAAUACCGGCUCGGUGAGGUAGUGACAAAAAAUAACAAUAUGGGCCCUAGUGGUUUCAUAAUUGCAAUGAGAAUAUUUUAAAUACUUUAUCAAGUAUCAAUUGGAGGGCAAGUCUGGUGCCAGCAGCCGCGGUAAUUCCAGCUCCAAAAGCGUAUAUUAAAGUUGUUGCAGUUAAAAAGCUCGUAGUUGAAAUUCGGGAUUGUAAAUGUAUUUAUCAAUUGUUUACGAUUGUUAUUUCAUUUCAUCCUUUCUUGUCGUGAGUAUUAUUUGGGUGCUUAACUGUAUUCAUUUAAUAACCGGCUAGUUUACUUUGAAAAAAUUAGAGUGCUUAAAGCAGGCUUAUGCUUGUAUAUUGUUGCAUGGAAUAAUAAAAUAGGACUUCGGUUUUAUUUUGUUGGUUUUCGAAACUGAAGUAAUGAUUAAAAGAGACUGCCGGGGGCAUGUGUAUGCUGGUGUUAGAGGUGAAAUUCUUAGAUCAUCAGCAGACAAACUACU